AUCUUUGGUCAAAUUAAUGAAAAUUGAAAAUAAUAAAAACAUAAUGACUUAUCUCCGGUUCAAGCCCUGCGGUUUUGGUCCGGUUUGGGGCAAUGUUUGCGUACAUUUUUCUCCGGGGGCGCUAUUUCACCCGCCGAGGCGGUGGGGCGAGGAAGGUGGAGGGGGUGGAGGAGGGAGGCUUUAGCCGUUUUGUACUUUUCUUUUUCAGGUUAUUUUUUUCUGUUCGCUCUUUGCUUCGCUUCGGUCCCUUGCCCUAAAGGCCUUCGACUUCCGUUUUACGUUUCUCUUACUUCAAUUGACCAAACGCGUACCAUUGCUUGCGUUCUCACACGCGCAAAUGCCCUUUUACACAACUCUCCGUGGCUUCUGCCUCGCAUCUUAGUUUUUCUGCUUAGCGCGCGCAGCCGCGAUCCGUAAGCGGUUAAGUGCGCGUGCGUUCAUUUCGCUUCAAGAAGAAAAGUGCCUUUAAUCGCUUCUGUUUUUCGGUGGUUUGUACAGCCAAAAUUGAACCUCAAACAAUUGUUAAGAACACCUAAGUGGAGCCCCUAUCGAUGAUGAGCGUUGGAAGCACUGCAUCUCCAGCAUUGUGAUCAAAAAGUUGUGAGAUUUGGACCGAUUCGAAGAGUGCGAUUACAAGCAAUGGUGGCCUGGUUUAACUGCUUCAUUAAUAAAGUAUACGAAAUCUUGGACAUUUACGCAAUGAUUUACAGAGGAAUGUGUCCAGAGCUUCAUAACAUCUCCGUAAUCAGUGACUUGAUUGCUAUUCAAAACAGACGUCACUGUAGUGAAGCAUUUGGCAAGAAGCUGUACAUUCUCAAGACGAGCGUCAUUGCUCACAAAACUGCAAUUCUGACUCUACUCGAUCUCUAUUGUACCUCGGUACCGUUUAGUACGCUUCAUGCACAAGAUCUUCGCCGAUGCUUCCCAAACAUGGUAGCACCCGGGAUCAGUUCUCUACAAUUGAGUGUGAUGCACGGAUAAUGAAGCGAGCUGCAUAAAAUGCGUUUGUUGCGUACAUUUACAUGUCUAUUCAAUUGUUGAAAAAAACAGUGUCGAACCAUCACGUCGACCACGUCCUUGUUCAGGACAUUAUCGUUAAAUGUUUAUGGGCCCGAGGUGCUUAACUAUGGAGAUUUUUCCGUCUUUUUCAUCAAACACAACGAUUGACGUGUGGUCUGGUUCAUCCGAUUACUUAAAAACGAUCGCUUCGUAUUGCGAAUAUCAAUUGAAAGCAUGUAACGCUUCUGUAUGCACUACACGACGCGUCGCGUGCCCAUUAAAAUGGCUAAUGGAAUUCUGUCUGAGAUGUCGGCGGGAAUAUCUUCACCACAGAUCCCUAUAAUGCGGGAUUUACUUUAAACGAAUGUGCUUCGAUGGGUGGCUGGUUUCAAUUGAAAUCGACAGUAACAACAAUUUAAAUCACGCCAGAAUGUGCUUUCAAUGCCAACGACAUUGGGAUUCGAUCGGCGGUUGCCGAUCGUUUAGCGCAUGUUCAAAAUUCGAACGAAGAUACGCGAUUGAUAUUGACAACGUAACAUGCAACAAUUACUUUGCGAAAACGAUGCAUGUCUCGACGCGUGCAGAAGGGAUUGAAUGAUAGGUUUCGAAGUAAUUGUAAUUUUCUUGAAAUAUUAAAAAGUAAAUCAAAAAUGACAUGGUAAGAUCGUCUUACUUCAUAUUUUAGCAAGUUAUAUGAAGAACAAGAAAUAGCAUCGCACAGUUUAAGAUCUCAAGGAGUAUCAAAAUCCCACUCGUUUUAUUGAACACAGUCCUUGGACGUCUAUUGGAACAGUAAAGAAAACUGGUAUUUCUAAUUAGAACCAUGCAUACGGAAGAAGCUGAAAAAUGAAGAAAAUCGAAUAACUUUGAAUGCUUCAGCGCAUAGGUUGGAUAUGGUGGAGGUUUUGUACAGUAGAUAGAAUCCGAUAGCAUAAUUCCGUCGAAUCAUUCCGCUGCUAUCCUGGCCAGCCUCUCUCGCCAGACGGACACAAGGCUGAUGCUUGACAGACGAUUCAACUCCCCGACCUUUUAUUUGAUCCGUUCAUGGUCACUGAGGAUCGUCUAUAUUUCGACGCCGCAAUAAAAGCAAAGCCCGCCCCUUUUCUCAUACGCUUCAAUCGAUUGGCCUAUUAAUAGGAGCAGCGGGCGCUAUCGGGCAUGCCAGAUCAACUUCUUCUUUUUUUCUCUCUUGUCUUUUCGUUCAGGAAAGCCUUGCAAUCCUUCAACUUGAUUUAUAUCUCGGAAAGCUGAACUAGUGUGGAUUACCAUGUUUUAAUCUUCCGCACGAUCAACGGCGGGGGUUAGCGGUCAGAGCUCGCUACCGAAUUACGUAGUCGAAUUCUCAUCAAAAGCACUAAUUAAUAUUGAAAGCUAGCCAUUAUGACAGAGUUGCGUUCGGGGAAUAAAUGUUUCACGCAGUAGCUACGAUGAUAUUUUUUACGAUUUAACUGCUUCCAUGGACCACUCCUAAUGCAUCGUAAAAAGAAGGAGAAUAGAAUAUACACCAAAACGAUAUUCAAAUUUUUCUUCCCUGCAGCAUUUUGAACUGCAGAUUCGAUGCCACAAUAUUGAGCCGAGGUGAUUUUCAGCAGAUACUUCGUUUCCCUUUUUUAUGCUUUAUAAUUCUUCAGAAUUUUCCAAUAACAGCCUACGGUAAGUCUGAUCACAAUCAAAGGGAUUGUUAACACACCAGUUUCGAAUGUGUAUAAAUGUUACUGCCCCCGUAGAGUCCUCGCCUCGCGCAAAGCGUUGCGAAAGGAAGCAGCGACCAUCCAAAUCAAGCAGUAACGUAUUUUCGCACGAUGGUGCUGGUUAACUGUUGAAAAUGAGACCCAUCCAUCCAUCCAUUUACCGAUCACUCCAGCUAUCCAUUCAUCAUCGCGUCUCAUCCGGUUAGGUAGUAUUUGAUACGUGACCAAGCAAAGCACCGCCAGAAGACGGGAAGGAUAUGAAAGCUAUCGUUUCUAUGGUGCGGUUCUUUUUUAUGGCGUGCCACCGAAGUGCUACUGUGUGAUCCAUGCCCUGCCCCAGAAAACCUGGAUCCUCUGGGUCGCGUGGCUGUAAACAUCUACUGGCAGGCUGACUGACUGACUGGCUGGCUGAGGCUGCUGCGUUAAAAGAAUGAAUGACUGUCGGUCGUCCAUCCAACCCAUCCAUCCAUGGCCACAGACAAACCAAGGAAAUGUGUUCGAAUCUACUCCAGGUGUAGAGCUUUUUCCGAUCAAAUAUUAUAAAGUACUACCCUUCGCCACCCCGGCUUGGCACUCUGCUUCGGCACUCCUUCGAAACCCUGAACCGGCUCCGAGAGAGCCUCGGAAGCUCUAAAAAGCAUCAUAAAUACAGGGAUGACGAUGCCGCCCCGUUCGGAGGGUUCGAUGUAACACCGGUAGCUUGGUAAAACAUUUCCGGCCUCAGUCCUGCCAGAGUGGACACACAUUGCAAAGAAAUUUGUGCUGACAGCUCGCAAUCAACAACAACAUUCAUCGCGUUUAUCGUUGAAGAUAACUUCAUGCUGUUAUGAUGCUUUAGGAAAAAGCGCCAUUAAAAGGCAAAACUAUAUUUAUAAGAUUUUUCCCAAAAACGUGGCUCAGCUCUCCAAUCGAAAAGAACACUUGGCUAAACAGCGUCGACAAUUUCCAUACAGAAAUAACUACUAAAACAACAGCCAAUCAAAUACUCUAGCUUAUGAUGGAGCAUAAACAUAUUUUACACACACACUGCUACAAACA